rnacentral:misc_RNA from 1 species
AUUUUGCUACAUUGGAAAAUCAGGUACUUGUUAACUUUGACCAACAUAAUUGGUUCAGGGAUGUGGAUUUGAAUUUUUGCUGUCAGAAUACCAACUUAACAAGAUCAAUGACGUACUGUCAGAUUACCUUAAGCUUUUUAUCUUGUGACAUUUAUUUUCAGCAGACAUAUGAAUAUAUGUGUUUUGUAGAUUUUGAUGGUUUGCUGCAUGAAACUUCCUUGUCUAUUUGAUAGCAACUUGGGCAUGAUUUUAUUAGGAAAAUUAGGUUAUUCACGUAGUGUAAUCAACAUUUCAAUUGGG